rnacentral:rRNA from 2 species
CUAAAAUGAGAGUUUGAUCCUGGCUCAGGACGAACGCUGGCGGCGUGCCUAAUACAUGCAAGUCGAACGCUUUUUUCAAUCAUCGUAGCUUGCUACACCGAUUGAAAAUUGAGUGGCGAACGGGUGAGUAACACGUGGGUAACCUGCCCAAAAGAGGGGGAUAACACUUGGAAACAGGUGCUAAUACCGCAUAACCAUGAUGACCGCAUGGUCAUUAUGUAAAAGAUGGUUUCGGCUAUCACUUUUGGAUGGACCCGCGGCGUAUUAACUUGUUGGUGGGGUAACGGCCUACCAAGGUAAUGAUACGUAGCCGAACUGAGAGGUUGAUCGGCCACAUUGGGACUGAGACACGGCCCAAACUCCUACGGGAGGCAGCAGUAGGGAAUCUUCCACAAUGGGCGCAAGCCUGAUGGAGCAACGCCGCGUGAGUGAAGAAGGUCUUCGGAUCGUAAAACUCUGUUGUUAGAGAAGAACAUGCG